CCUACGGGAGGCAGCAGUGAGGAAUAUUGGACAAUGGGCGCAAGCCUGAUCCAGCCAUGCCGCGUGCAGGAUGACGGUCCUAUGGAUUGUAAACUGCUUUUGUACAGGAGGAAACACUGGUUCGUGAACCAGCUUGACGGUACUGUAAGAAUAAGGAUCGGCUAACUCCGUGCCAGCAGCCGCGGUAAUACGGAGGAUCCAAGCGUUAUCCGGAAUCAUUGGGUUUAAAGGGUCCGUAGGCGGUUUAAUAAGUCAGUGGUGAAAGCCCAUCGCUCAACGGUGGAACGGCCAUUGAUACUGUUAGACUUGAAUUAUUAGGAAGUAACUAGAAUAUGUAGUGUAGCGGUGAAAUGCUUAGAGAUUACAUGGAAUACCAAUUGCGAAGGCAGGUUACUACUAAUUGAUUGACGCUGAUGGACGAAAGCGUGGGUAGCGAACAGGAUUAGAUACCCUGGUAGUCCACGCCGUAAACGAUGGAUACUAGCUGUUGGAAGCAAUUUCAGUGGCUAAGCGAAAGUGAUAAGUAUCCCACCUGGAGUACGUCGCGAGAAGAGAACGUACGAAGAAGUAGUACGGCGUGAGACGUAGACCGACGGACGACGACGAGGGAGGAGGG
rnacentral:rRNA from 1 species